GACGAACGCUGGCGGCGUGCCUAAUACAUGCAAGUCGAACGAGAGCGACCGGUGCUUGCACUGGUCAAUCUAGUGGCGGACGGGUGAGUAACACGUGGGUAACCUGCCCAUCAGAGGGGGAUAACAUCCGGAAACGGAUGCUAAAACCGCAUAGGUCUUCGAACCGCAUGGUUUGAAGAGGAAAAGAGGCGCAAGCUUCUGCUGAUGGAUGGACCCGCGGUGCAUUAGCUAGUUGGUGAGGUAACGGCUCACCAAGGCCGUGAUGCAUAGCCGACCUGAGAGGGUGAUCGGCCACAUUGGGACUGAGACACGGCCCAAACUCCUACGGGAGGCAGCAGUAGGGAAUCUUCCGCAAUGGACGCAAGUCUGACGGAGCAACGCCGCGUGAGUGAAGAAGGUUUUCGGAUCGUAAAACUCUGUUGUUAGAGAAGAACAAGUGCUAGAGUAACUGUUAGCGCCUUGACGGUAUCUAACCAGAAAGCCACGGCUAACUACGUG
rnacentral:rRNA from 1 species